AUGCUCUAUGUACUAUUCCAGGCUGAGGCUGGUGGUUCCCCUGCCUUAAUAGCUAGGGGAUUUGGAAGUGGACAGCCUGGAUCAGAGCAAUUUGAGAUGACAGUUCCUGAUAACAAGGUCGGUCUCAUUAUCGGAAAAGGUGGUGAGACAAU